UAGGGAAUAUUGGUUAAUGGGCGAAAGCCUGAACCAGCAACGCCGCGUGCACGAUGACGGCCUUCGGGUUGUAAAGUGCUUUUUGGAGGGAAGAGGAAGGACGGUACCUCCAGAAUAAGUCUCGGCUAACUACGUGCCAGCAGCCGCGGUAACACGUAGGAGACAAGCGUUAUUCGGAUUUACUGGGCGUAAAGCGCGUGCAGGCGGUCUGACAAGUUGGAUGUGAAAGCUCCUGGCCUAACUGGGAGAGGUCGUUCAAAACUAUCAGACUAGAGAGUGGUAGAGGAAGGCGGAAUUCCGGGUGUAGUGGUGAAAUGCGUAGAUAUCCGGAGGAACACCAGUGGCGAAAGCGGCCUUCUGGACCAAUUCUGACGCUCAGACGCGAAAGCUAGGGUAGCGAACG
rnacentral:rRNA from 1 species